rnacentral:rRNA from 1 species
GUAGUUGACUCCGUGCUCAGGACGACGCUGGCGGCGUGCUUAACACAUGCAAGUCGAACGGAAAGGCCCUUCGGGGUACUCGAGUGGCGAACGGGUGAGUAACACGUGGGUGAUCUGCCCUGCACUUUGGGAUAAGCCUGGGAAACUGGGUCUAAUACCGAAUAGGACCACGCGCUUCAUGGUGUGUGGUGGAAAGCUUUUGCGGUGUGGGAUGGGCCCGCGGCCUAUCAGCUUGUUGGUGGGGUAAUGGCCUACCAAGGCGACGACGGGUAGCCGGCCUGAGAGGGUGACCGGCCACACUGGGACUGAGAUACGGCCCAGACUCCUACGGGAGGCAGCAGUGGGGAAUAUUGCACAAUGGGCGCAAGCCUGAUGCAGCGACGCCGCGUGAGGGAUGACGGCCUUCGGGGUUGUAAACCUCUUUCAAUAGGGACGAAGCGCAAGUGACGGUACCUAUAGAAGAAGCACCGGCCAACUACGUG